rnacentral:rRNA from 1 species
GCAAGUCUGGUGCCAGCAGCCGCGGUAAUUCCAGCUCCAAUAGCGUAUAUUAAAGUUGUUGCAGUUAAAAAGCUCGUAGUUGAAUUUCGGGAUCAGUACGCCGGUCGUGCCUUCGGUAUGCACUGGUGUCACUGGUUUCUCCCUUCUGAAGAACCAUCAUGCCAUUCAGUUGGUGUGGCGGGGAAUCAGGACUGUUACUUUGAAAAAAUUAGAGUGUUUAAAGCAGGCUCGCGCUUGAAUACAUUAGCAUGGAAUAAUGAAAUAGGACGUUUGACCCUAUUUUGUUGGUUUCUAGGAUCGACGUAAUGAUUAAUAGGGAUAGUUGGGGGCAUUAGUAUUCAAUUGUCAGAAGUGAAAUUCUUGGAUUUAUUGAAGACUAACUACUGCGAAAGCAUUUGCCAAGGAUGUUUUCAUUAAUCAAGAACGAAAGUUAGGGGAUCGAAGACGAUCAGAUACCGUCGUAGUCUUAACCAUAAACUAUGCCGACUAGGGAUCGGAUGAUGUUAAUUUUUUAAUGACUCAUUCGGCGCCUUACGGGAAAC